GGGUUGUGAGGUUAAGCGACUAAGCGUACACGGUGGAUGCCCUGGCAGUCAGAGGCGAUGAAGGGCGUGCUAAUCUGCGAUAAGCGCCGGUAAGGUGAUAUGAACCGUUAUAACCGGCGAUACCCGAAUGGGGAAACCCAGUGUGACUCGUCACACUAUCAUUAACUGAAUCCAUAGGUUAAUGAGGCGAACCGGGGGAACUGAAACAUCUAAG
rnacentral:rRNA from 3 species